AGUCGAGCGGAGANGAGGNGUUUGCACCUUAUCUUAGCGGCGGACGGGUGAGUAAUGCUUAGGAAUCUGCCUAUUAGUGGGGGACAACAUUCCGAAAGGAAUGCUAAUACCGCAUACGUCCUACGGGAGAAAGCAGGGGAUCUUCGGACCUUGCGCUAAUAGAUGAGCCUAAGUCGGAUUAGCUAGUUGGUGGGGUAAAGGCCUACCAAGGCGACGAUCUGUAGCGGGUCUGAGAGGAUGAUCCGCCACACUGGGACUGAGACACGGCCCAGACUCCUACGGGAGGCAGCAGUGGGGAAUAUUGGACAAUGGGGGGAACCCUGAUCCAGCCAUGCCGCGUGUGUGAAGAAGGCCUUAUGGUUGUAAAGCACUUUAAGCGAGGAGGAGGCUACUGAGACUAAUACUCUUGGACAGUGGACGUUACUCGCAGAAUAAGCACCGGCUAACUCUGUGCCAGCAGCCGCGGUAAUACAGAGGGUGCGAGCGUUAAUCGGAUUUACUGGGCGUAAAGCGUGCGUAGGCGGCUUUUUAAGUCGGAUGUGAAAUCCCNCGAGCUUAACUUGGGAAUUGCAUUCGAUACUGGGAAGCUAGAGUAUGGGAGAGGAUGGUAGAAUUUCCAGGUGUAGCGGUGAAAUGCGUAGAGAUCUGGAGGAAUA
rnacentral:rRNA from 1 species